AGCGAACGCUGGCGGCAGGCCUAAUACAUGCAAGUCGAGCGGCCCUUCGGGGCAGCGGCGGACGGGUGAGUAACGCGUGGGAAUGUGCCCUUUGGUACGGAACAACACAGGGAAACUUGUGCUAAUACCGUAUGUGCCCUUCGGGGGAAAGAUUUAUCGCCAUUGGAGCAGCCCGCGUUGGAUUAGGUAGUUGGUGAGGUAAAGGCUCACCAAGCCUACGAUCCAUAGCUGGUCUGAGAGGAUGAUCAGCCACACUGGGACUGAGACACGGCCCAGACUCCUACGGGAGGCAGCAGUAGGGAAUCUUGCGCAAUGGGCGAAAGCCUGACGCAGCCAUGCCGCGUGAAUGAUGAAGGUCUUAGGAUUGUAAAAUUCUUUCACCGGGGAAGAUAAUGACGGUACCCGGAGAAGAAGCCCCGGCUAACUUCGUGCCAGCCGCCGCCGUAAGAC
rnacentral:rRNA from 1 species